rnacentral:rRNA from 1 species
CAGUCGCCGCGGGAAUACGAAGGGGGCUAGCGUUGCUCGGAAUGACUGGGCGUAAAGGGCGCGUAGGCGGCGAUCAAAGUCAGGCGUGAAAUUCCUGGGCUCAACCUGGGGGCUGCGCUUGAUACUUGGUUGCUUGAGUGGGGAAGAGGGUCGUGGAAUUCCCAGUGUAGAGGUGAAAUGCGUAGAUAUCGGAAGGAACACCUGUGGCGAAAGCGGCUCACUGGACGAUUACUGACGCUGAUGCACGAAAGCUAGGAGAGCAAACAGGAUUAGAUACCCCAGUAGUCCCUGUCUCUUAUAC